UAAACACGUAGUUCUAUUGGCCUGGAACUAGAUUCUGAUAGUGAAUCAACCCAUCUAAUAGUGCAUGGGUAACGGAGUCAUUGUGUCGCUGUGGCCACAUUGAUUCGAUCCCAUCUUGUCGCUUUGGCCUUGAUGCGGAUCACCUUGCUUGGGGGGGGGAUACUGGCGGUACACGGGUGUUCAGCCAUACUCUCUUCAGGGGGGAGUACUGGUGAGACAUGCCUGAUUACGUCAGUCACUC
rnacentral:lncRNA from 1 species